rnacentral:rRNA from 1 species
AUUGAACGCUGGCGGCAUGCCUUACACAUGCAAGUCGAACGGCAGCACGGGUGCUUGCACCUGGUGGCGAGUGGCGAACGGGUGAGUAAUACAUCGGAACAUGUCCUGUAGUGGGGGAUAGCCCGGCGAAAGCCGGAUUAAUACCGCAUACGAUCUACGGAUGAAAGCGGGGGACCUUCGGGCCUCGCGCUAUAGGGUUGGCUGAUGGCUGAUUAGCUAGUUGGUGGGGUAAAGGCCUACCAAGGCGACGAUCAGUAGCUGGUCUGAGAGGACGACCAGCCACACUGGGACUGAGACACGGCCCAGACUCCUACGGGAGGCAGCAGUGGGGAAUUUUGGACAAUGGGCGAAAGCCUGAUCCAGCAAUGCCGCGUGUGUGAAGAAGGCCUUCGGGUUGUAAAGCACUUUUGUCCGGAAAGAAAUCCUUGGCCCUAAUACGGUCGGGGGAUGACGGUACCGGAAGAAUAAGCACCGGCUAACUACGUG